rnacentral:rRNA from 1 species
CACGUAGGGGGCGAGCGUUGUCCGGAUUUAUUGGGCGUAAAGAGCUCGUAGGCGGUUUGGCAAGUCGGGUGUGAAAUUUCGAGGCUCAACCUCGAAACGCCACUCGAUACUGCCAUGACUGGAGUCCGGUAGAGGAGUGCGGAAUUCCUGGUGUAGCGGUGAAAUGCGCAGAUAUCAGGAGGAACACCAACGGCGAAGGCAGCACUCUGGGCCGGUACUGACGCUGAGGAGCGAAAGCGUGGGAGCAAACAGG